CUCUGAAUAUAAGCCCCCCAUGUAUAAGCCCAGGUGUGCCACAUGUACUAACGCUCACCUCAAUCCAAAUGUAAGCCCCCCCCCCGUAUAUAAUUCCCCCGAAUAUAAGUCCCCUAAUUAAUAUAAGCCCAGUAAUCGCUGCUUAAUACAUGUUUAUUUCUUGUUUAUGACUGAUUUGUUUUAUGUCUGACUUGUUUAUUACUAACACAAAA